rnacentral:rRNA from 1 species
AACGUAGGAAGCGAGCGUUAUCCGGAUUUACUGGGCGUAAAGCGCAUGCAGGCGGUUCCAUAAGUUAGACUUGAAAGCUCCUGGCUCAACUAGGAGAGACGGUUUAAGACUGUGGGACUAGAGGAUGGACGAGGAGAGCGGAAUUCCCGGUGUAGUGGUGAAAUGCGUAGAUAUCGGGAGGAACACCAGUGGCGAAAGCGGCUCUCUAGGCCGUACCUGACGCUCAGAUGCGAAAGCCAGGGGGAGAGAACGGG